CCCAUCAAUAGAUGCUCCCUGAAGGCUUCCUUCCAGCUGAAGACACAGGACAGGAGCAUCAGACAUCCAAUGCCAGGACAUUAGUAGGAAAAUUUCUUGCCACCACAACUACCAGCAGAGCCAGAAAGAGUGCUUCUUUCCUGAAAGAGGAUGGGCAUACACUUUGUGCAUAUAAAUGAGCCCUGUGAUUCCAGUUCUGGACCAUGGAGUGAGGGCAGAAGAGAUGCAUGCAACUUCAGGAUCACAUCCCUCCUCACCCGUGGGCUGGGUCACGGUGUGGUGCUGUAAAGCUACCUUAUCCAUGUGGUGCAGCCCAAUGGCCAUAACCCAGAAGAUGCUCAGCCCCAGAUGGAAUCACCCACCUGCCCUAGACUGUUCCUCGUGGCCCUGGAUUCACAACAGCUUGAGCUGUGCUGUCAG